rnacentral:rRNA from 1 species
UGAGGAAUAUUGGUCAAUGGGCGAGAGCCUGAACCAGCCAAGUCGCGUGAAGGAAGACAGUCCUAAGGAUUGUAAACUUCUUUUAUACGGGAAUAACGGGCGAUACGAGUAUUGCAUUGAAUGUACCGUAAGAAUAAGCAUCGGCUAACUCCGUGCCAGCAGCCGCGGUAAUACGGAGGAUGCGAGCGUUAUCCGGAUUUAUUGGGUUUAAAGGGUGCGUAGGUUGUUCGGUAAAUCAGCGGUGAAACCUGAGCGCUCAACGUUCAGCCUGCCGUUGAAACUGCCGGGCUUGAGUUCAGUGGCGGCAGGCGGAAUUCGUGGUGUAGCGGUGAAAUGCAUAGAUAUCACGAGGAACUCCGAUUGCGAAGGCAGCUUGCCAUACUGCGACUGACACUGAAGCACGAAGGCGUGGGUAUCAAACAGG